rnacentral:rRNA from 1 species
AGUAACACGUGGAUGAUCUACCUUCUGGUGAGGAAUACCCCUGGGAAACCGGGAAUAAUACCGCAUAAGCUCGAGAGAGGAAAGCAGCAAUGCGCCGGAAGAGGAGUCCGCGGCCGAUUAGCUAGUUGGCAGGGUAAAAGCCUACCAAGGCAAAGAUCGGUAGCCGGCCUGAGAGGGCACACGGCCACACUGGCACUGAAACACGGGCCAGACUCCUACGGGAGGCAGCAGUGGGGAAUCUUGCACAAUGGGGGAAACCCUGAUGCAGCGACGCCGCGUGAGCGAUGAAGCCCUUCGGGGUGUAAAGCUCUUUCGGCAGGGAAGAUGAUGACGGUACCUGCAGAAGCAGCUGCGGCUAACUACGUGCCAGCAGCCGCGGUAAUACGUAGGCAGCAAGCGUUGUUCGGAGUUACUGGGCGUAAAGGGUGUGUAGGCGGUUGUUUAAGUUUGGUGUGAAAUCUCCCGGCUCAACUGGGAGGGUGCGCCGAAUACUGAAUGACUCGAGUGCGGGAGAGGAGAGUGGAAUUCCUGGUGUAGCGGUGAAAUGCGUAGAUAUCAGGAGGAACACCGGUGGUGUAGACGGCUCUCUGGACCGUAACUGACGCUGAGACACGAAAGCGUGGGUAGCAAACAGGAUUAGAUACCCUGGUAG